GCCGCGGUGCUGGAACUGGCAGACAGGAUGGACUCAAAAUCCAUUGUCCCUAAAGGACGUGUGGGUUCAAUUCCCACCCGCGG
rfam:Parcubacteria group bacterium CG1_02_36_42 cg1_0.2_scaffold_3970_c, whole genome shotgun sequence.